rnacentral:lncRNA from 1 species
CAGGGGCCCCUGGCGUUCCCGAGGCCGAGCCCGGCCCAAAGCCACCGCCGCUUUCCAAAGCCAACCCGGGCCAAUGGCGAUCCUCGCAGGGGGAAGGCCGCGCGCGGCCCGCGGAGGUCUUUCUCCGCCUGGAAGCGCCGUCCCAGCCCCGGCGGGGAGGGUGCAGGCCUGCUCCACUCCACUUUAGAAGCCGCGCGCAACUCCACCGCGGCCUGGGGCGUCUCCAACCUGCACCGCUUUUGGCGAGUUUCCCAGUACGCGGUGCCAGGCAAACCCUCUGACCCGAGAACGCUGGUGAAAAUGCAUAUUCCUCUGCAGUUACCAAUACUAACUGGUCUCAUUUCUACUCAACGCGCGUCCUGUGAUUAAGGCUGAGGCAGUGGGUGUCUGGGGAGGAAGUCAGAGCUGGCACCCACAGGACAACCACACGUGCGCACGACACCCCGGUGAGGCCGCACAUCCAGACCAGGAUAUGAGGUCAGGCUGCGAACAGACGGGUGUGAGUUCAGAGUGAGAGGACUUAGUCCCUACAAUGAGAAUUUUCGGAGGCACGGUCUGGGCCUCUUCUCUGAUUCAUUUUCUUUAACAGAGAACUUUUCCUCUUCCUUUGGCCGAGUGCCACGGGGUGAGGGUGGGGGGACCAUUGUUUAAAAUCCAUUUCAUUCAAUUAUUUUAAACUCUUGUUUGGACUGACCACAGACAAUGUUAUAAAGCAGCAACAAUCACAGUCGUGUUACUGGCGCACACCCAGAAAUCUAGGUCAGAGGGAAACAAUAAGGAACUCAAUGGCACCAAAUAAUUCAAUAAAAUCAGUUAUAAAACCAUACAUCAACAGAUCUAACAAAAUACUGAAUUAGUGGCAAUGGAUACUGAAAAAACUGCCAAACUACACUUCUGUAUCAAACCUGGCCUAUACUUUCCAUAUCCAGCUUUUGACGCUUUUGAAAGAUACGAAGAGCAUUCUGUUACAAGCAAAUAAAGGAGAGCUUCAAUCUUCUUACCAGAAGAACACCCCAAGAAGGAUUCCUUCUAAUCAGCCUAAGACCCAAAAGCUAUUAGCUAAAAAGAAAGGGAAAAGGAAAGAAAUUAAAGACUGUGAACUAACUUGUUUGCUAUGUUGCAUUAGUUUGGGAAGAAAUACAUUUUUAAUGUGCAUGUAAUAUGUGCCAGGCACUCUUAAGCCUCACAGUAACCUAAUGA